AUUUUAUAUUGAUAAGAAAGUCGCCCAAUUUCCGGUAUUAUUGUGGGCAACACGAAAAAAACAAAAUACGAAGCAGCUGACUGAUGCCAUAUGAGAGCGUCACCACAGGCACCAAAAGUGGAGCAUGACCUCGAGAAUAGUAGUAAUAUACUGCAAUGUUAAAGGGAAUAAUAGAAAAGAAUAGAAUAAAUGCAAAAUGGCAUAAAGAAUAUGAUGAAUAUAGAGUAGAAAAACUAAGUCAAGUCUUGGAGCACAUAACAUAACAUGACAAAUAGAAUAGAAUAGACACCUUGCUGACUUAAUAUAACAUUUAAAAAUGAAGCCACUGGUUAAAUGUGUCCAAAAGACUCCAGCUGUCACGCUGUAAUUACCCCCUGAUGUGCGGCUACACGUGAUCACACUCAGCGAUCUGAAAAAAACAAUAAAGGUUGUGUGUGUUUGACACAUGCAUGUAAUAGGGUGUCAUGGCGCGUCGUUACCACCAGGGGUCGCGGCACACUAACAUGUUGCUGGUCAGGGAGGCAACAUGAGAGGUGUGAGGAACCUGGGAUGUACAGUAUAUAGCCUCCUGAGCAGCAUCGAUAAGAAGGGAACACCUUGAGAGAGCCGCAGACGAGCCGCCCCGGAGCCGCCGGAGCCGCAGCCGAGCGCGGCUUGGGCGUGUGGCGCAUGUGGACUGGGCGAGCCAACACACCGCAGGAAUGUGUGCAGUUACAGGCAAAGAUACACGCUCGGACAUUACUCUGUGUAGUGCGCUUGGGCGUUUUUAAGUCUUCUUUCAGAAUAAUUGGAAAUACGGGGCCACACUGCUGCGCCCCCGACGGAAACCUAUAAUUGGAGACGAGCCAGUGACGCGCUGAAAAUAACCAGGUUACCACUUAGCACCGGUCCAUUUUGGGGAGGGCCCAACACGAGGGCGCAGCACCAUAUAUCAGCUCCUUCCAGCUGUUUGGGAAUACCCUGCUCACAAUACCGAGGCUGCAGCAUGGCAGUAGCAACAGCAGGCUCCUUUCUCUCUCCGCCUCCCCGGUUGUCUCUUUCCAGAAUGGAUAUUGGCUUGGUGGCUCAGAACCUAUUGUGGAGCUAACAUGGCUGCCAACAAUAAGACAUGAUGACAUUGUCCUGUUUUCAUGCUGGAGGCCUCCCAGUAAGGAGUUCUCUUGAACACCUCUUCAGUGUGACAUGGAGACGAGCCCGUAACCACCAGCGGAGCCGAGCUGAGCGCCAGAGCUGCUUUAGAGCCCUGCUGAGCCCUGCCAGACCCACAGCUUUCCCUGCUAGGGGCCUCGGCUCGCAGUCAGAGUGAGUUACAACCCAUGCUCCUGACACACUCAUGCUAAUGCAGAAACAGACAUACAGAUAGCUUAAAUAUGUAUAGUAUGUAGGCAUGCAGACGCACACAUAUGUGGAGUAUAUGUGUACAACCAUAAACCAAUACACACACACAGACAGAAAAAAUACUGUAUGUAAGCAUGCAGACAAAUGCAAAUGUAUACACACACAUGCAAGUAACACCCACAUAAUGAUACCCCACUAACAGUGAGUGUAGCCCCAUUGGACCAUGCUUGCACACAUGCAGCAAAGUGAGCAUGUCCUCUUACAGGAGCUCUAUUUGGUAGGGUUAGUUUAAGGUCAAGGUCUGGCAGCUGCUGGAUCAGCUGGAUUGAUCUGUCUGGGUAAACAUGUAGUGAAAAUGAGCAUGCUUGUGAUUAAAGGCUUAGCAGAAAGUGUGUGUCAGUGUGUGCGUGACCAAGCCAGUGAGACACAGCAUCAAUAUGUGACUGUAUAUAUACUGUGUAGAAGAGAUCAAUGCACAGAUACAGUAUAUCAGCUGCAUGGGCGUGUCAAUAUGUGCUUCUAAAUUAAUAUUUUUUUUCGUCAUGGCUCAGACAGGAUCACCCUGCAUGCUGUCUCAAGAUGAUGAGAUGAAGCAAGUAGUCUUAAGUUUACAGAAUGGAAUCGAUCCCAAAAGCUCCUGGUUCAGUGCCAUGUUUCAUGUUUCAUAUUUGUUUUACUGAAAAAGCCAAUGAAUGAUGAAAAGUCUGCAGAUGAAACGUCUUUAAUGAUUCACUGUGCACCCUGUAAACUGAACUAUGGUGACAUCCACAAGUGUCAACUGUAGUACAGUUGAUGUAUGGUUUGAUUAUGUAACUAAAAACAUUUUUAAGGCUAAGGGAGGAUUGUAGUCAAGGUAAAUAAACUAUAUGGUUAAGGUGUGGCUAAGUUUGAGCAACUAAAAACACUGGGUUAAAGGUGAACUCUAUCGAUUUUACACAUCAAAGUCCGUUUACAGGUCUUGGGGAGUACUUCUGCAUAAGUGAAGUUGUAUAGCCUUUUGUGGCUCCAAAGGGAGCUAUGCAAAAUCUUACAAAUUGCCUCAAGUGAUGUCACUUGAGUCAGCAUGGGUUGGGGCUGAAGACUGCACGUUAGAAAAUGAAAUAAAUCUGGGGGUGUAGAAUUAGAAAGAAGUGAGCUCACCCGACCUCUGUAGCUGGCUCCUCAUCUCUGCUUGACGCUAUAUUAGCCGCUACUAGCAUAACACACCUGAAUCUCCAACUCAACUGUUGUUGCAUUGUGGGUAAUGUAGGCUCCAGGUUUUGACAAGGAAGAAGAAUGCAUGAAAUAAAAAAAAAAAGAUGAUAUCUCUGGAUCUGCUGCAAUGAUUUUGAUCCUUUAAAAAAAACAAAAAAAUGUCCUACAAUGUUAUGGGAGAGCAAUGCUAAAUCGAUGGAGUACUCUUAUAAGAUCAGGGAAAGUUGAUGUUCAUGUUUACAUAUUAAAAUAUAUUGGUAUGAGGAAGCUGUAAAAGUAUGUCAUGUUUGGAGGGCCCAAGCUCAAAUUGAACUUUGCAAAGAUUCACAAGGGUCCAUGAAGACUGUGUGGACCAUGUGCACUGACUGUACACAGUGAGUGCACGUGUGUGGAUACACGUCUGUGUCCGUUUUGGAGUUUAUCAGGCCUUUAGGCAACAAAAAUGUUUGAGUGACACAACAGUCGUACUUGCCUUCAGUUACAGAACGUGGUUGUCAUUCCUUUUUACAACUGAGCUGUAUCUGGACAUAACCAUAUUUGGCACUCACAUGAGGGCUGACAAACCAUUUUGUGCUGGCUGUACGAAUGUAUCUCACAGCAGUAAUAUAUUGUGUGUGUGUGCAUGCGUGGCUAUAGAGCUUGUGUCUACAUUAAUCCCAGGAAUGUUGAUGUGGUCCAGAGUUUAAUAGAAUGAGGCGUGGGUGUGGAGUAAGAGUCCCCCGAAGCAGAGUUAAGGUCUUAAAGUACAAAAAGCCUUGACCCAGGCCCUCUGCACCCACUCACAGGGACCCAGCACCCCUCUUUCAGCCCAGCACAUGCUUUCAUACUUUGUCUAUGCAGCAAAGACAGGGGAAAGACAAGGAGAAGGAUAUGAACUCAAACAACAAACAUAAUUUCUCAGAUGAAGAUGAGCACAAAAUGUACCCAGCCACAGAUGUCGAUGUUGUCGCUCUCCCUGGCUCAAACACACAUACACAACCAAACACAUCCCUGUUGUCUUGUGUUUUGCUCGUCAUGCAAUGAGGAACACAUGACUUAAAUCGGGUAUGGUGCAUGACCUCUUAUCGGACAAAAGCGUCCCACAGAGAGAGCCGAUGGGGGAGACUGUGCCUCCCCGCCUGUCUGCAGUCAUAAGGUCUCCGUCCCGUUGGCCACGCCGUGUCUCGUGGUUCAAAGACCAUAAAACGUUGGCGGUGUCUUGUCAAUAAAUCAGCUGUUUAGCCUGAGGAGAGUGGCAUUAACAGGGGGGAGGAGUGCAAAAAGACUUCUUUUUAAAAGGCAUGUUUUGCAAGAAUGAAGCCUUUGAAUUUUUUGUCGAGUCCUAUAAAUGUCUCACCUGGGGGCCUAAUGCCUCUCAAUGAGAAUGAUUGGUGUGAAUUAACCCUGAAGCCUCUACAUGUUUAUGCAGAGUUAAAUUAAAAUGUUCCAAUGACAGAAGUUGUAUCUUGUUUUUAUCUCAUUUACUGAUCUCUUUUCAGUGUCUUGCUGAUGAAUUCAUUUCAUUUAUCUGUCUAUGAUGAUGAUAAUAUCUGUAUGUUGGAGUGAUAAGUCUUGUGUCUCACAUCUUACAGGGACCAUUUCUUGACACUCUCCUCAACAUUGCUGGUCAUACCUCACCAUAUCUCAGUUUCAGUGACAGGACUAACUUUCCAGCAGUACUGAUGUUUUCACUGAAACCUCUGCAACAGUUGUGGAGCCCAAUACGGCUAAUACUUAGGAAAAUACCAUAUAUUUUAUGUUGCAUGGUAGGUUUCAUAGGCAGGUGGUUAAAAUGCUUCUGCAGGUGUUAAAACGGCUAAUAAAGCAAACUGUUCCACAACCAGAGCAAGGUAUCUUUUAAGAAAUCAGUGAAACGGAGAGCAGCGAGAAGAAGAGGAGUGGAGAUGAGGGUUAUAAAAGUUUACAACUGAACAUCCUCUCAGAAUGUUCCCUCUUUGAUUUGGUUGAUAACUGCUGGCAAAGUGUAACCAAAAGGGUUAAAUCAAAUUGAGCAGAAAUGUAUGAGGAUAUGUGUGUUUGUGUGUGUCUGUGUAAAAGCCGGCUGUCCCAUCACAAGGUAGCGUCACUGAGAGGCAAUGCCCCCAGGCAGCAGGCCUUAGUCCACUUAGGGCACUUUAAAUAAGUGCAGUGUUCACUAACACAAGCUUACUGGGUUCAUCCACUGUAGAGAUAUGAAAAGGAGUGAUUGUCUGGUGCAAUGCUGAUGGCUAAAUGAAAAUCAAGUGAAAAAGCUUUGAAUCACAGGCCUUUGUGUGACCAUGGCUGAUUGUGGAGCAAAUCGAAGAACCACAGGAUGGAUCGAGGCAUCUAAAUGUAGAUGGCUGUCCCUUUGAGUGAUGGCUAUCUUCAGGAGUCAAUGACUGACUGUGUGGUGUACACAGUGUUAAAGGAAUAAGUGGGGUAAAAUAAGGUCUGUAAAAUGUUUUAUUCUUGGAUUAUGUGUAACAUGUUAAAUAAAGAUUCUGUUCAAAAUAA